rnacentral:rRNA from 1 species
GAUGAACGCUGGCGGCGUGCCUAAUACAUGCAGGUCGAACGCUGGAAAUCUAGCUUGCUAGAUUGAAGGAGUGGCGAACGGGUGAGUAAUACAUAAGCAACCUACCCACGAAGACUGGGAUAAUCUCUGGAAACGGGGACUAAUACCGGAUAGGUAAUCGGAAGGCAUCUUCUGAUUAUUAAAGGUUAAAAACACUGGUGGAUGGGCUUAUGGCGCAUUAGUUAGUUGGUGAGGUAACGGCCCACCAAGACGAUGAUGCGUAGCCGGCCUGAGAGGGUGAACGGCCACAUUGGGACUGAGACACGGCCCAGACUCCUACGGGAGGCAGCAGUAGGGAAUUUUCGGCAAUGGGGGAAACCCUGACCGAGCAACGCCGCGUGAGUGAUGGCGGCCUUCGGGUUGUAAAGCUCUGUUGUAAGGGAAGAACGGUAGAUAGAGAAUAUCUAAAUGACGGUACCUUACCAGAAAGCCACGGCUAACUACGUG